GAGCGGCGAACGGGUGAGUAACACGUGAGCAACCUGCCCCUGACUCUGGGAUAAGCCUGGGAAACCGGGUCUAAUACCGGAUAUGACCGUCUCCGGCAUCGGGUGACGGUGGAAAGAUUUUUUGGUCGGGGAUGGGCUCGCGGCCUAUCAGCUUGUUGGUGGGGUAGUGGCCUACCAAGGCGACGACGGGUAGCCGGCCUGAGAGGGCGACCGGCCACACUGGGACUGAGACACGGCCCAGACUCCUACGGGAGGCAGCAGUGGGGAAUAUUGCGCAAUGGGCGGAAGCCUGACGCAGCGACGCCGCGUGGGGGAUGACGGCCUUCGGGUUGUAAACCUCUUUCAGCAGGGACGAAGGUGACGUGUACCUGCAGAAGAAGCGCCGGCUAACUACGUGCCAGCAGCCGCGGUAAUACGUAGGGCGCAAGCGUUGUCCGGAAUUAUUGGGCGUAAAGAGCUCGUAGGUGGCUGGUCGCGUCUGCCGUGAAAGCCCGCAGCUUAACUGCGGGUCUGCGGUGGAUACGGGCCGGNUAGAGGUAGNUAGGGGCAAGUGGAAUUCCU
rnacentral:rRNA from 1 species